rnacentral:rRNA from 1 species
UUUAAUGGCCGCAGUAUUUUGACUGUGCAAAGGUAGCAUAAUCAUUAGUUUUUUAAUUAAGAACUGGAAUGAAUGGUUGAACGAGAAAAUAACUGUCUCUUUAUAAUUUUUUUAGAAUUUUAUUUUUAAGUUAAAAAGCUUAAAUUUUUUUAAAAGACGAGAAGACCCUAUAGAGUUUUAUAUUAUAGGUUUAUUAUUAUUAUUUUGAAUUUAUUUAAAAUUUAUUAUUUAUAGUAUUUAAUUGGGGUGAUUAAAAAAUUUAAUAAACUUUUUUUUUAUUUUAACAUUUAUUUAUGAUUUUUUGAUCCAUUUAUUUAUGAUUAUAAGAUUAAAUUACCUUAGGGAUAACAGCGUAAUUUCUUUAAAGAGUUCUUAUCGAAAAAGAAGUUUGCGACCUCGAUGUUGGAUUAAAAUAAAUAAUUGGUGUAGAAGCUAAUUUAUUAGGUCUGUUCGACCUUUAAAAUUUUACAUGAUCUGAGUUUAAACCGGCGUGAGCCAGGUUGGUUUCUAUCUUUAAAAAUUUAAAAUAUUUUAGUACGAAAGGACCAAGUAUUUAUAAUAAUUAUUAAUUUUUAUGAAUGUUAUUAAUAU